rnacentral:rRNA from 1 species
AGGCUAAAACGCGAUAGGCUAAGAUACCUUGAAUGAUUUUGAUCAAAAUCCAUACGGCCUAUGGAUUGGACUGCGACCGAUCUGUCUGUUGGUUAGGUAAGGGCCAACCCAACCUGUAGCCGGUCCGGGCUCUGAGAGGAGGAGCCAGGAGAUGGGUAUUGUGAAAAGGACCCAGGCCGUAUGGGGCGCAGCAGGCGAGAAUCCUCUGCAAUAGGCGAAAGCCGGACAGGGUUGCUAGAGUGACUUUCGCUAAGAAAGUCUUUUGACACCUCUAAAAUGGUGUGGAAUAAGGGGUGGGUAAUUAUGGUGUCAGCCGCCGCGGUAAUCCCAGCACCCCGAGUGGUCGGGACGAUUAUUGGGCCUAAAGCAUCCGUAUCCGGUUUUUCAAGUCCUCCGUUAAAUCCAACUGCUUAACAGAUGGGCCGCGGAGGAUACUAUAAGACUAGGAGGCAGGUGAGGCAAGCGGUACUCAGUGGGUAGGGGUAAAAUCCGUUGAUCCAUUGAAGACCACCAGUGGCGAAGGCGGCUUGCCAGAAUGCGCUCGACGGGGAGGGAUGAAAGCUGGGGGAGCAAACCGGAUUAGAUACCCGGGUAGUCCCAGCUGUAAACGAUGCAGACUCGGUGAUGGACUAGCUUAAUGCUGGUCCAGUGCCGCAGGGAAGCCGUUAAGUCUGCCGCCUGGGUAGUACGGUCGCAAGACUGAAACUUAAAGGAAUUGGCGGGGGAGCACA